UUGGACCUACGGGGGGCAGCAGUAGGGAAUUUUCGUCAAUGGGCGCAAGCCUGAACGAGCAAUGCCGCAUGAGUGAGGAAGGUCUUCGGAUCGUAAAGCUCUGUUGCAGGUCAGAAAAGAAGGGAAGAGGAAAUGCUUUUCUUUUGAUAGUAACCUGCCAGAAAGUCACGGCUAACUACGUGCCAGCAGCCGCGGUAAUACGUAGGUGGCGAGCGUUAUCCGGAAUGAUUGGGCGUAAAGGGUGCGUAGGCGGCCUGCUAAGUCUGGAGUGAAAGGUACCGGCUCAACCGGUACAGGCUCUGGAA
rnacentral:rRNA from 1 species